AUUGAACGCUGGCGGCAGGCCUAACACAUGCAAGUCGAACGAGUGGCGGACGGGUGAGUAAUGUCUGGGAAACUGCCAGAUGGAGGGGGAUAACGACAGGAAACGGUAGCUAAUACCGCAUACCAUCAGAUGUGCGCAGAUGGGACUAGCUAGUAGGUGGGGUAACGGCUCACCAAGGCGACGAUCCCUAGCUGGUCUGAGAGGAUGACCAGCCACACGGGAAUUGAGACACGGUCCAGACUCCUACGGGAGGCAGCAGUGGGGAAUAUUGCACAAGGGGCGCAAGCCUGAUGCAGCCAUGCCGCGUGUAUGAAGAAGGCCUUCGGGUUGUAAAGUACUUUCAGCUGGGAGGCGUUACCCACAGAAGAAGCACCGGCUAACUCCGUGCCAGCAGCCGCGGUAAUUC
rnacentral:rRNA from 1 species